AUUGAACGCUGGCGGCAUGCCUUACACAUGCAAGUCGAACGGCAGCACGGGUGCUUGCCCCUGGUGGCGAGUGGCGAACGGGUGAGUAAUACAUCGGAACAUGUCCUGUAGUGGGGGAUAGCCCGGCGAAAGCCGGAUUAAUACCGCAUACGAUCUACGGAUGAAAGCGGGGGACCUUCGGGCCUCGCGCUAUAGGGUUGGCCGAUGGCUGAUUAGCUAGUUGGUGGGGUAAAGGCCUACCAAGGCGACGAUCAGUAGCUGGUCUGAGAGGACGACCAGCCACACUGGGACUGAGACACGGCCCAGACUCCUACGGGAGGCAGCAGUGGGGAAUUUUGGACAAUGGGCGAAAGCCUGAUCCAGCAAUGCCGCGUGUGUGAAGAAGGCCUUCGGGUUGUAAAGCACUUUUGGCCGGAAAGAAAUCCUUGGCCCUAAUACGGUCGGGGGAUGACGGUACCGGAAGAAUAAGCACCGGCUAACUACGUG
rnacentral:rRNA from 1 species